rnacentral:sRNA from 1 species
ACCGGUCUUCAGUCAAGGGUAUACGAGUAGCUGCGCUCCCCUGCUAGAACCUCCAAACAAGCUCUCAAAUGGGAUUUUUUUAAGAUAGAAAUUUUAAC